AUGCAGAAUCACAGCAUAACUUACUUGUUCCGAUCUCUAGAAGUGCUGCCUAGCAUUCUGUCCCAGAAAUCCACAAUAUUGCGACCAAGAGGCUCUUCGUGCUUCAGACCGACCUUUCCUGGGAAUUUAUCUCCCAUUUCAGGAUUGAAAAAUGUUCUCACCAUGCCCACAUUCAACCUCAGAUUGGUGGCCAUCCGGCUGGAUGCAUUGCCUGCCCCCCUAACCACUGUAACGCCAAUACCAUCAGCUGAAACAACAUUUCAAUCUUACUAUCUUAAUUUAUCUCGGACAUACGGGCACUUGUGUCAUGAGCAUAUGAGUUAA
rnacentral:rRNA from 1 species